AGAAUAUACCAAGGCGUAAGAGUGAAACCUGGUUAAGGAACUCGGCAAAUUAGCCCCGUAACUUCGGAAGAAGGGGUGCCUGCAGCGAUGCAGGCCGCAGAGAAAUGGCCCAACCGACUGUUUAUCAAAAACACAGCACUCUGCAAAGACGCAAGUCGAAGUAUAGGGUGUGACACGUGACCAAUGCCGAAAGAUUAAGGCAAGGGGUUAGCCGCAAGGCGAAGCUCUGAACCCAAGUCCCGGUGAAUGUCGGCCGUAACUAUAACGGUCCUAAGGUAGCGAAAUUCCUUGUCGGGUAAGUUCCGACCUGCACGAAUCGUGAAACGAGUUGGGCACUGUCUCAACCAGGCGCUCAGUGAAAUUGUAGUGGCGGUGAAGAUGCCGCCUACCCGCAGAAGGACGGAGAGACCCUAUAGACCUUAACUGUAAGCUGUCAUUGUUUCUUCGGUUUUAAUGCUCAGAGUAAGUGGGAGACGCUGAAGAUGCCCUUUAGGGGGCAUCCGAGUCAUCAAUGAGACACCACCCUUUGAAACUGGAGGAUCUAACCCUGAGCCGUGAAUCCGGCCAGAGGACCGUGUCAGCCGGUCAGUUUUACUGGGGCGGUAUCCUCCCAAAGAGUAACGGAGGAGCGCGAAGGUGGGCUCAGCCCGGUUGGCAACCGGGUGUCGAGUGCAUGGGCAUAAGCCCGCCUAACUGUGAGACCAACAAGUCGAGCAGAUGCGAAAGCAGGCCCAAGUGAUCCGGCGGUAGAAAGUGGAAUUGCCGUCGCUCAACGGAUAAAAGGUACCUUAGGGAUAACAGGCUGAUCACGCCCAAGAGUUCAUAUCGACGGCGUGGUUUGGCACCUCGAUGUCGGCUCGUCGCAUCCUGGGGCUGGAGAAGGUCCCAAGGGUCCGGCUGUUCGCCGGUUAAAGCGGCACGCGAGCUGGGUUCAGAACGUCGCGAGACAGUUCGGUCCUCUAUCCUCUGUGGGCGUUGGAAAAUUGAGGGGUUCAGACCUUAGUACGAGAGGACCGGGUCUGACGCACCACUGGUGCAUCGGUUGUACUGUCAAGUGCAUGGCCGAGUAGCUAAGUGCGGAAGGGAUAAGCGCUGAAAGCAUCUAAGCGCCAAGCCCAUCCCAAGAUGAGUUUUCCCUAUAGGUUCGUGGAAGACCACCACGUCGAUAGGUCGCAGGUGUAAGUGCAGCAAUGUAUUGAGCCAAGCGAUACUAAUCACCGAUAGACUUCAUCAU
rnacentral:rRNA from 1 species